AAAAUGCGAUACUUGGUGUGAAUUGCAGAAUCCCGUGAACCAUCGAGUUUUUGAACGCAAGUUGCGCCCGAAGCCUUUUGGCCGAGGGCACGUCUGCCUGGGCGUCACGCAUCGCGUCGCCCCCCACAAUUCUCCGUAAAGGGAAAUUGUGUUUUGGGGGCGGAUAUUGGUCUCCCGUGCUCAUGGCGUGGUUGGCCGAAAUAGGAGUCCUUUCGAUGGACGCACGAACUAGUGGUGGUCGUAAAAACCCUCGUCUUUUGUUUCGUGCUGUUGCUCGCAAGGUAAACUCUUUAAAAACCCCAAUGUGUCGUCUCUUGACGACGCUUCGACCGCGACCCCAGGUCAGGCGGGACUACCCGCUGAGUUUAA
rnacentral:misc_RNA from 1 species